GCUUGUUUUACUUAUUCCGGAAGAAACCUCCCAGCAUAAACCCGUAUAGGGAGAUUCGAACACGGGGAAUGACUAGUUGCUUAAGCAUUCACGUUAGGAUCACACAAUCAAUUACCUCCUGAAUGUAUCGUCUCUAUUUCUAAUAUCUGAACACACAAGGAAACUAUAAUCUCCUCCUUCACCUUAUCGGUCUCUUCCUUACAGCAAUUCAAUCAUACCAAUAUCUGUUAUUUCCACCAAUAUAUUCACCCUCAUAAUCUCCAACUGUAAUACUGCGCCCUCACAGCUUUAAACACACAAUUACCCUCAUUCCAAUCACUGGAAUUCUUCACACAGAAUUGCCAUUCACAUUACAGUGUUUCACACAAACACAGACUCAUUCUCUCUACUGAACUACAAUCAGAUUUCAGCAUUCAAUCUUUCUUCUUCUCAAAUAAUACCAAUCACAUUUCCAUUCCAUAAUUCACUUCACAAUAUUCAGAAACUUUCAAUCCUCUUAUUCAAAGAAAAUAACAAAUAAAAGAAAAGAAGUAGCACCAAGCUUACCCCGGCUCACAACUCUCAUAGUCUGGCCCUCGGCUUAUGACUCUCACAGUCUGGCCCUCAGCUUACGACUCUCACAGUCUGUUCCUCGGCUCAGCACUAUCAUAGUCUGGCAUUUUCUU
rnacentral:lncRNA from 1 species